CUUCCUCCUCUCGCUGCACUUUCCGCGCCAGUCUUCGGGCCCGAGCUCUCAUUCAUUGCGGACACGUCAUUCGGAGCAGAUCUAAGCCAGAGACCAGAUCUCAUUAGAUAAAGCCCAUCAGAACUAAGAAAAUGGAGGAGCCACUAAUUAAAGCUUUUAAUUGUGCGGAUUCGCUGCAGCAAGGCAGCCGCUUUAUCUGAAAUCUUGGAGGGAGAGGAGGCAGAAGCCCAGCUCUGCCCAUCGACACUUGGCCGCGGAGGGGGAGGGGACUGGUGAAAGCGCCCCCUCAUCUUGCAGCCCCCUCCCCCGCGCUCAGGCCGGCCUUUCCCAGCUCUCCCGCAGCUUUUUAGCAAGACCUUGGUUGUUUUCAAAAAACCACAACUCAAAGUCAAGACAGUUUAAAAGCCCCUCAGUAAAUCGCUAUGUGGUCUCAGUCGGACCAAGGGGUCCCCUUCACCUGGCGGCGGGCGAGCAGAUUACUCCACUCUUCUGCAGCGGUCCCUGCGGCAUUGAAAGCUCCUCCAACAAGUGGACUUGAGGGACAUUGGAGAGGGGGUAGCUGAGAGGAACAGCAACGUCUGCACCUUCCCACCCUUUGGACAUCCUGAUGGGCUGAGAGAGGAACACUGAAGGAAGACUUCAGUAAUCUCUUAAAUUGGAGGGGAAGGGGCGCUCAGCUGCUGGUGAGCCCUGAGCUAAGUGUGAGGCCAUCAAUUUCGUACUGAGCUAGAACUCAUCUCUCCUAGAAAGAUCUAAGGUCCUCGGGGUAGCAUGUAGUUCAAGAGCGAGCCUGGCUCCAGUUUCCAGAUUCAGAGGGAAAAAAGGAAGUAAGAACGUAGAUGCCAUUAAUUAAGGCUCAGGGCUGGGCACACAUCCUCCAUUGCUCCAUUAGGGCACAGGAAAACACCAAAAGGCCAUUUACAUUUGGCCCCAAGAAUAGAGAAAAGAAUGGACACAAUUCCCAGGAAGCCACUUGCCUAAACUUGUCCUGGGGGAAUACAAGCGGACCCAUCUUCUUUUUAAUUAGUUGUAAUCAGAAGCGAGGGUUUUUUUUGUUUUUUGUUUUUUUUUUUUUGAAGGCACUCGGAGAAGAGAUGAAUCUGUACCAUUCACGGAAUCUUAACAGCACUGUCAAUUUUUCCACUUCAAACCACACUCCUUUCUUACCACAGUUUUGCUUUCUAUUUAAUUACAGCACCGUCAAAGCUCAUGGCAUUACUUGGAAGGAGGACCAGAAAGCAUUACACCCAUGUUCCUGCUGAUUUUCCAACAUUUACUUCUAAAAGAACACUUAGUGAAAUUAAUGCUGCCAUCUUAAUUUAAAAAUAAAAGCCCUCUCCCUUCCUGUAUUUCUUUUACUUGGACUGAUUGAGGAUGCCAGCAGAAUCGACACAGGUUGCAUUAUCAAAAUAACUAAAUGUCAUUUUACUCCAUCAUCUUACACUAAUGAUAUCACUGGGGUAAACAUAUCCACACUCAGCUCGGAACUGCACUGGGAUCUUUUACAAUGUUAGUCGCAGGAUAAGGCGAAUCACAAUGGAGCUAAACUUUGAACAAAAUAGUUCAUCCACUGAUUUACCCACACUGAAGAAAGAAAAAAAUUUUCUACUAAUCACUUUAAAGAAAAAGGUUUAGGACAAAUUUACAUAGGAUGAAAUUCUUAAAAGUGUGCGGUUUUCUAGUAUCAACUGUGUGCGUGUGGGUUUUUUUUUUAAUUACUGGAUGUUGAAACAGAACACCUCCUAGAAGCAUUCAUGUGCAUCAGUCUAUCAAACCAUUUACUCAAAUUAAAUGUGUAAUCCUUCAAAUGCCUCCUUUCAAAUUAAUGAGUUUAAGUAGCUUGAGUUCACCUGAAAAGAUCCUAUAGGCACCUGACCUCCUGAAUUCUUUCCAUUAAUUGCACUGCAACUUGUUGGAAAAGACUGCUUACAUGGACAUAUGAAUGUUCCUAUACAUUGCUUUAAAAUGCAAGAUUAGUAUAAUUCUAUAGCCUUUUUCUAAAUCUCUUUUGGGGAUCAAGGGCAGUGAUACAAACGACAACAAAAAACCCAAAACCUGAACAUGCUUCAAUUGAAAAAAACUGCAAAUUCUACAUCGCAAACCACACACUAACUGAAUUAUUGCAAGCCUCCGAGUAACAGUAUGAAGAGAAACAUUACCACCAGGUUUUAUUUCUUGGGACUUUUUUUUUCUCUAUAAGAAGAAUUACAAGUCUUUAAACUGAUGGAUAAUUAGCAUUUUUCUCAAGGAGCACAAAGAACGAAUCACAGCCUUCCGCUCAAAAAAGUUUCAAGAUGCUUAUGUAAAUAUCGUUAAUAAGCCAUCGCCAUAGACAAAUCAUUUCUCACUAACUACACUUGUAUUUUUAAGUCAACCUUUGUUUCUGGGUUCCUCUGUGAGUUCCUACCUUGUUUUAAGAACGCAGCUUAACUCCCGCUUGGGAUGUUUGCUUUUAGCCUGAAGUCCAGUAGAGGCUGACCACUUACUUAAACUCUAGGACCAGAGGGUGCUCAACCUUUGCACAUCUAAUGACCCAGUCCCACCAGAUGGUCUUUACUUAGUAUGGCAUUUGCCAUGAAUUUGCCAUCAGAUAUUGGAAGACUAACACAUGCUUCC
rnacentral:lncRNA from 1 species